rnacentral:rRNA from 1 species
UACGUAGGGACCAAGCGUUGUUCGGAUUUAUUGGGCGUAAAGAGCUCGUAGGCGGUUCGGUUAGUCAGGUGUGAAAUCUCCACGCUCAACGUGGAGGGGCCACCUGAUACUGCCGUGACUUGAGUCCGGUAGGGGAGUGUGGAAUUCCCGGUGUAGCGGUGAAAUGCGCAGAUAUCAGGAAGAACACCCGUGGCGAAAGCAGCUUUCUGGGACGGUACUGACGCUGAGACGCGAAAGCGUGGGA